rnacentral:rRNA from 1 species
UGAGCUUGAUCCUGGCUCAGGAUGAACGCUAGCGGCAGGCUUAACACAUGCAAGUCGAGGGGUAUUUAUCUUCGGAUAGAGAGACCGGCGCACGGGUGCGUAACGCGUAUGCAAUCUACCUUUUACAGAGGGAUAGCCCAGAGAAAUUUGGAUUAAUACCUCAUAGUAUAUAGACUCGGCAUCGAGAUUAUAUUAAAGUCACAACGGUAAAAGAUGAGCAUGCGUCCCAUUAGCUAGUUGGUAAGGUAACGGCUUACCAAGGCUACGAUGGGUAGGGGUCCUGAGAGGGAGAUCCCCCACACUGGUACUGAGACACGGACCAGACUCCUACGGGAGGCAGCAGUGAGGAAUAUUGGACAAUGGGCGCAAGCCUGAUCCAGCCAUGCCGCGUGCAGGAUGACGGUCCUAUGGAUUGUAAACUGCUUUUAUACGAGAAGAAACACUGCUUCGUGAAGCAGCUGACGG